rnacentral:tRNA from 1 species
AAGCAAGUGGCGAAAUUGGAAGUCGCUCCGUCUGGUUGGCAGGAUUAGGAUACGUUCGAGUCGUACAUUCACUUUGGCUUGUGACUAAAUGCAGGUUCGAGUCCUGCCUUGCUUUCA